UAGGAUGACCAAUUCUCCUGGUGUGCCUGGGACUGAGGGUUUUUCUGGGAGGCUGGACUCUCAGU
rnacentral:miRNA from 1 species